AGUUCAAUCUCAUCGUCAGAAUCUCCGAGAUGUUUCUUUAAUGGCUGGUUCUGGAGUUUCCACGUUUCUCUAUCCCAUGCCUCAUCCAUUUCAGGCAAUGCAUAGUUGUCGGGUCUUAACGACAGUUGGAAAUCUGGCAGGUCAGGCAAUGCUUGCAAAGCCCUGCACCAUCUUGUUAUUAUUAUAAAGAAUUUUCACUUGAAUUUCUGAAUUGAACAUUAAAAUGAUAAGUUUAUAAAUGAAAGGAGUUGAGUUGAAAUGAGAUUUAAGAAUGGAACUGCUUACUUCUCUUCUUCUAAUAGGUAGCCAUACAUCUGAGAUUUCCUGGAAGCAACCUCAGGAAUUUUCUGAUGCAAGUACUUCAUGGCACCCCAUAAAGGAGGAGAUCUUGCCAAGAAAAUCAAUUGAUUGUGAAGACAAAUGAUCAGAAGGAUCUAGAACAAUCUAGAUAAUUUCCAUACCCUGAUUAACAAACCAGAGAAUUGUAACACCA
rnacentral:lncRNA from 1 species